rnacentral:ribozyme from 1 species
AAGAGAGAAAAAAAAAAAAAAAAAAAAAAAGGAGAACCGAUGUCAAUUCCCAUCUGCACAUAGCAAUUUAUGAAAUCGUGAAGGAGACGAUUUUACAUUUUCAUUGUUUAUUUUGUUCUCCUUCUUCUUCUUCC